rnacentral:lncRNA from 1 species
CGCCGCGUCUGUUUCCCGGAAAAACUACUUGGAGCUGAUUGAAUUGUGCUAUCCGUCCUUUGAGGUCCCCUCCGAACGCCAAGAGAGCCUAGCCACGAAAACCCGUUCGAUGGUACCGAACUAGUAUUAUAUGGCCUGUAUCUCUCUCCCAACAUCCGGCUGGAACAAACCCCCCAGAACUUCCUGCGAAGUUGACCCCUCCAUCACCUCAUCCGAUCGAUUUCAUCCACCUCUCGCCUCCUACCUCCGCACCACCUGAAGUACAUUCUAAGCCCUGGCCCCCAAACCUUUGACGGAGAGGGGGGUCGAUAGUCCACUUCUUAAGCAAUAGUCCGGUGGGGGAGAAACGGCUAACCCGCACCUUAUAUUGACAUAGGCUAGCAUAUGGAGUAACCCUCGUUAACCAAGGCCCCCCGACCCGCUUUGGCUGAUCGGGGGGUUCCGGGAGCAAAUUCUGGUGGGCGAGUACAGUGGAUCCUAGAUCGAUCGAACAAGGUAACUUCGAAAACAAACUCCCGAAUCUUUCCCAAACAGCUCUUCCAUAGUUUUUCCAGUCCGCAGCAACGACUCAGGUUUGGAUGGGCGAAAUCACGACGGCAGCCACAAAAAAAUGGAUCUCCGACAUCACACAACCCGACACACCUAAGUUUCGCGAGGCUCGGCCCCUCUUCCCCUUCGGAUGUCCCCCUUCGGUACACCACCACAUCAUGCCAUCCAGUCUGGAGCGUCGCCGACUCCCGUUGGCCAAGGUAGGGCCAACACAAGAGUAGCGGACGAACCAGUCAUCUGGUCUUACCGGAGAAAGGGAGAGGUAGACUGCCACCACCAAACCCCACCCAAGCACACACCAGGCAGCAAAAAGCCAUCAUCCUAAAAGAUGGUCCCACUUCACAAGACGAGGAGGUUCCCCGUCCUUCAUUCCAACCCCAGGUGAGAACACACACACCCUUCUUUGCGAUGGAUAAAAGGCAAAAAGAGAGGGCAAAAAAGCCAACGGCAAAUUCCAACCAGACCCCCAGAGGCACACACCACAAAAAGUGAAGCCAGAGAGAGCCAGACAAAGAGAAGGAUAGAGAGAGAGGGAGAGUUAGACCCCCCCGGAAGAGAAUCAUAGGUGCUGCGGCCUUUUUCGGGAAUGUGACCAGGAAAGAGAGAAACCGACGAGGCCGAUACACACAUUAAAAAAUGAAAAAGUAACCAUCACCGCGAAGGAUUUUCCUCAAAAGACAAAUCAGCAAGAAGUAUGUCCAAUCCCGGGGGCCCAUCGCCCCUCCAAAUUAAUGGAGGGGUCGGAUAGAAAUUUAUAGAAAUGUUACUUUUGUGAAACCCCUAGCCGACGAGAGACUCUCACCGGUUUCGAAGUUCCAUUUUCACAUUCCGACCUGGGAUGUUAUGACUCCUCGGCCCACACUGCGAACGCGUCCCACACCCCCUCCAAGUUUAUCAGGAAUUCACCUGAGCUUGCAAUAGAGAUCGAGCGCGGUGGCGGUCACAGUGGUGGUCGACCAGGCGGAGCUUGAACGGCCUCGGCAAACACUUCUCCCCACCCUCCCAAAUGAAUGAGAGAAUGGCUUGACAAUACCGAGGCCAUCGCCCCCCGCCAAAAAUGGUUACUAGCUCUUGGGACUCGCUGCGACGUUACGCGUAUCGGCACAAGACCAACCCUCUUUUUCCAGUCGCCCGCGCACCAAAAAAAAUUUUGGCAGCGGGACUCACAAUCCUUGACAGCCAGCUCACCAUAUAAUACUCGGCGACCCUCCGCGGGACCUCCUCAGAGGGUCGCGUCGCCGGGAAACUAACCCCCACUCCUCACUGAUCCAAGGUAACACGCCAGAAGUAUCCAGGUAACCCCAGUAGUAUCCAGGUAUCCCCCCUGCGAACGUCGGUACUGGGCUCAAAGAAGGCAGCGAGCAGUCGGGACCCGUAGGCACCGAGCAACCGUCACCCCCUCACGACUUUUCCCGAGACGCUUCAGAGGAACCCUUCCCCCACAUAGUACUCUCUGUGGGAUUCGGCAGGCCCCCCCGUCCUACUGCACUAAGGAAGUUCCGAGACACACUUUUUUUUGUGGAAGACCACCCACCCUCCCUGUCCUGCCUGCUAUCCCCGCCGCGACUCCUGGUCCCGGCCCUCCUCCCCGACUUCCUCCUUGUCCCGCUGCGAGUCCCGGACCUCCUCCCCCACUACCUACUCCCGCCGCGAGUCCCAGUCCCGGCCUUCCUCCUCCUCCUCCUCUUCCCUAGUCCCGGCGCGAGUCCCGGACCUCCUCCCCCACUUCCUAGUCCCGUCGCGAGUCCCGGACCUCCUCCCCCUCUUCCUAGUCCCGGCGCGAGUCCCGGACCUCCUCCUUCUCUUCCUUGUCCCGCCGCGAGUCCCAGUCCCGUCGCGAGUCCCGGACUUCCUCCUUCUCUUCCUUGUCCCGCCGCGACUCCCUAGUCCCGUGGCGAGUCCCGGACUUCCUCCUCCUCUUCCUUGUCCCGCCGCGACUCCCUAGUCCCGG